GACGAACCGUCCUAACGUUGUUCGGAAUCACUGGGCUUAAAGGGCGCGUAGGCGGGCGAGCAAGUCCGGGGUGAAAUCUUUCGGCUUAACCGGAAAAGUGCCUUGGAUACUGCUCGUCUCGAGGGAGGUAGGGGCAUGUGGAACUUCCGGUGGAGCGGUGAAAUGCGUUGAUAUCGGAAGGAACGCCGGUGGCGAAAGCGACGUGCUGGAUCUCUUCUGACGCUGAGGCGCGAAAGCCAGGGGAGCAAACGGG
rnacentral:rRNA from 1 species